CUUCAUUCCUUCUCUCAUACACCAACCACCAGAAAGGGAGAUGAAGAGAAGUUAAUUCCUGCUGCCAACUGCCAAGUAUCGAGAGUUCCUUCCCCAUCGAAUUCUAUAGCAACAAGCAGCCAAAAACCAAACAUUCACAAGGUCAAGCGCGAGAGUAAGAACUACACAAGGAGUUAGAGUACCUUAGCAAAACUUUGCUAUCAGGUUGAGCUGUGAUGGGCGAUGAAGUGUUGUUGCUGAGUGGAGUUUUUGUCGAACUUAAAGUAGGCUCAGAAAGGGUACAUGUCUUCAUACAUGUAUCUCAGUUAUGCAUUCCGCUGUAAACACUGAUUAUUUCA